rnacentral:tRNA from 1 species
ACCAGGAUGGCCGAGUGGUUAAGCUGUUGGACUUAAGUUCCCGAAGGAUGUAUGGCCAUGUGGGUUCAAACCCCGCUUCUGGUA